GUGUGCCGCACGCCGCGUGCUGUCGCAGCGGAGUAUCAAAUUAUUUUAAGAGUUUCAACUUUUUAUGUCCUUUAUCUUUAUGAUGUUUUUUCUCUUACAUUUAUUUAAAUAAUCAAUUUGAUUUGGUAAUAGUUUUUUUUAUUUUCACUUGGAUCCAAAUUUUGUUCAACAUUUAAUUUUUAAUCCUCUUUCAUCUACUUUUAUUACAGCUGAUUUUUGGUGUUCUUCAGAAAUUUUACCAGUGGAGAAUAUUGGAAUUGUUCAUAGUAAUAUAGUCAAAAAAGAGGAUUUUUCAGUUUUGAAGACAUCAAUUAUGCUGCUUUAUUCGAUGAAGACAGAUUUGCUGAAUUCUAUAGAUUUUUUAAUGAGGGUUUGAAAUCAUCAAAGCUGGUUUCCCAAUUAUGAAAAAAAUUUACUUACGUUAAAAUACAGAUCUACCUUCCAAUGCAUUAGAUGAACGACUAUUCAAUUUUGGAAAGGAUGUAUUAAGAAACAAAAUAUCAUGAAUGACUGAUGAUAAUUUUGAACAUAAAUUGUUAUUAAAGUAUAAUAAUAAUAGUAUAAUACAAUGAUUUGAUAGGUAUUAAGAUUAGUAGUUAAUUAAUAAUUAUGUAAAUAUUUUUUUGAUCUCAUACAAGGACUUGAUUGAGUACCAAAAGACUGGUUAUAUUUUACUUUUUUGUUUUAUUAAUUUAAAGAAAUAUUGUUUAGUUUAUUUGUUAUAUCUAUACAUAAUUAAAAAAUGUUUAGUAAAUUACAAUUCUAUUUAAUUUCCAAUCUCAUUACAGUAUCAAACCCCUUUCAGUGACCGAAUGUAAAAUCCGUACUAACUACCAAUUUUCAAUAAAACGUUUAUUUGUUUAGUUUUGUUACAAAAAUACAUGAGAUACAUUAAAUAAACUUGUCUACCGAAUAUACAAGAAAAUAAUGGUAGGUAUUAACAAAUAAUGUCCAAGUACUCAAGUAACAUCUAAAUAAAUCAAGAAAAUUAAAAAAAAAAAAAAAAUGUAGUGAAAAAGUAGUACGCUUCAUAAGUGUUAGAAAUAGCGCACUACAUUUAAAGAGUAGCUUUAGCUAUAACGAGCUAUUUUUUUUUGAGGGGAGUAGCAAUAGCGUUAGCAUGCUACAAAAAAACAGUAGCGUCCCGACCACUGUGUAUACUUAAUAUUUUAAUAGAACAUUUUUAACUAGAUAUUACCAACAUUAGAUGGUGGAAUUUUAUUAAUUUUAACAUUCCUAAAUUAAUUAGUUUUGGGCUAUGUAAAUAUUUAAUGACUUAAAUGGGAUCUAAUGUGAUUUUUAUAAGCAGAAUAAAAUCAAAUAAAAUAUAUUACUUGUAAUUUGUCAGCAAAAAAUGUCUUGGUAUUCUAUACUCUAUUCGCUGUAAGUUAACCCACUUGCACGCAUUCAUACUGAGCCACCGGGUUUGUUAAGAUAAUCAAAUCGCUAUGUAAACACCAGGUACGGUGAUUAUCACCACUAGCACUCCGAAGACUUGGCAGCCUGCGUGGCUGCAACCAGUUUUUGUUGAGCAAGUGGGUCAACUUACGGCGAAUAGAGUAUAGAUAUAUUCACAUUUUACCUGCAAAAUACUUAGAUAUUAGCAUUGACUAUAAAUACUAUAAUAAUUUAUGAUCAUUGAUAUUAGGUACUGAAGUUAUAUAAAUAUGAUAUAAUUUAUUUUUAUUUUACACAUAUUUAC